rnacentral:misc_RNA from 1 species
GAUGAAGAACGUAGCGAAAUGCGAUAAGUAAUGUGAAUUGCAGAAUUCAGUGAAUCAUCGAAUCUUUGAACGCACAUUGCGCCCCUUGGUAUUCCGAGGGGCAUGCCUGUUCGAGCGUCAUUAUAACCCCUCAAGCUCAGCUUGGUGUUGGGCCCCGCCGCCCCGGCGGGCCCUAAAGUCAGUGGCGGUGCCGUCCGGCUCCGAGCGUAGUAAUUCUUCUCGCUCUGGAGGUCCGGUCGUGUGCUCGCCAGCAACCCCCAAUUUUUUUCAGGUUGACCUCGGAUCAGGUAGGGAUACCCGCUGAACUUAAGCAUAUCAAUAAGCGGAGGA